GGCCCCCUGGCGAAACAGGCAGACGCGGCGGGCUUAAAACCCGCUGUCCCGCAAGGGGCGUACCGGUUCGAACCCGGUGGGGGCCA
rnacentral:tRNA from 1 species